GACGAACGCUGGCGGCGUGCUUAACACAUGCAAGUCGAACGGAAAGGCCCUGCUUUUGUGGGGUGCUCGAGUGGCGAACGGGUGAGUAACACGUGAGUAACCUGCCCUUGACUGUGGGAUAACUUCAGGAAACUGGGGCUAAUACCGGAUAGGAGCUCCUGCUGCAUGGUGGGGGUUGGAACGUUUCGGCGGUUGGGGAUGGACUCGGGGCUUAUCAGCUUGUUGGUGGGGUAGUGGCUUACCAAGGCUUUGACGGGUAGCCGGCCUGAGAGGGUGACCGGCCACAUUGGGACUGAGAUACGGCCCAGACGCCUACGGGAGGCAGCAGUGGGGAAUAUUGCACAAUGGGCGGAAGCCUGAGGCAGCAGCGCCGCGUGCGGGAUGACGGCCUGCGGGGUGUAAACCGCUUUCGCCUGUGACGAAGCGUGAGUGACGGUAAUGGGUAAAGAAGCACCGGCUAACUACGUG
rnacentral:rRNA from 1 species